AGCGAACGCUGGCGGCAGGCUCAACACAUGCAAGUCGAGCGGGCAUCCUUGUGGUGUCAGCGGCAGACGGGUGAGUAACGCGUGGGAACGUGCCCUUCGGUUCGGAAUAACUCAGGGAAACUUGAGCUAAUACCGGAUACGCCCUUUUGGGGAAAGGUUUACUGCCGAAGGAUCGGCCCGCGUCUGAUUAGCUAGUUGGUGAGGUUAUGGCUCACCAAGGCGACGAUCAGUAGCUGGUCUGAGAGGAUGAUCAGCCACACUGGGACUGAGACACGGCCCAGACUCCUACGGGAGGCAGCAGUGGGGAAUAUUGGACAAUGGGGGCAACCCUGAUCCAGCCAUGCCGCGUGAGUGAUGACGGCCUUAGGGUUGUAAAGCUCUUUUCUCCGGGACGAUAAUGACGGUACCGGAGGAAUAAGCCCCGGCUAACUUCGUG
rnacentral:rRNA from 1 species